rnacentral:rRNA from 1 species
GCAGUGGGAGCACAGGUUUACCUGUGUGACUGCGUACCUUUUGUAUAAUGGGUCAGCGACUUAUAUUCUGUAGCAAGGUUAACCGUAUAGGGGAGCCGUAGGGAAACCGAGUCUUAACCGGGCGUUAAGUUGCAGGGUAUAGACCCGAAACCCGGUGAUCUAGCCAUGGGCAGGUUGAAGGUUGGGUAACACUAACUGGAGGACCGAACCGACUAAUGUUGAAAAAUUAGCGGAUGACCUGUGGCUGGGGGUGAAAGGCCAAUCAAACCGGGAGAUAGCUGGUUCUCCCCGAAAGCUAUUUAGGUAGCGCCUCGUGAAUUCAUCUCCGGGGGUAGAGCACUGUUUCGGCUAGGGGGCCAUCCCGGCUUACCAACCCGAUGCAAACUGCGAAUACCGGAGAAUGUUAUCACGGGAGACACACGGCGGGUGCUAACGUCCGUCGUGAAGAGGGAAACAACCCAGACCGCCAGCUAAGGUCCCAAAGUCAUGGUUAAGUGGGAAACGAUGUGGGAAGGCCCAGACAGCCAGGAUGUUGGCUUAGAAGCAGCCAUCAUUUAAAGAAAGCGUAAUAGCUCACUGGUCGAGUCGGCCUGCGCGGAAGAUGUAACGGGGCUAAACCAUGCACCGAAGCUGCGGCAGCGAACGUAUCACCCAAGACAACUUUACGGAGUUGACGAUUGACGGAGCGAAGCGACGUCAAAGCGUUCAUUAAAGUCGAGUUGGCUUAGGGAUACGUUCGUUGGGUAGGGGAGCGUUCUGUAAGCCUGUGAAGGUGUGUCGUGAGGCAUGCUGGAGGUAUCAGAAGUGCGAAUGCUGACAUAAGUAACGAUAAAGCGGGUGAAAAGCCCGCUCGCCGGAAGACCAAGGGUUCCUGUCCAACGUUAAUCGGGGCAGGGUGAGUCGACCCCUAAGGCGAGGCCGAAAGGCGUAGUCGAUGGGAAACGGGUUAAUAUUCCCGUACUUGGUGUUACUGCGAAGGGGGGACGGAGAAGGCUAUGUUGGCCGGGCGACGGUUGUCCCGGUUUAAGCGUGUAGGUGUGUGUUCCAGGUAAAUCCGGUUCACUUUAACACUGAGGCGUGACGACGAGGCACUACGGUGCUGAAGCAACAAAUGCCCUGCUUCCAGGAAAAGCCUCUAAGCAUCAGGUAACACGAAAUCGUACCCCAAACCGACACAGGUGGUCAGGUAGAGAAUACCAAGGCGCUUGAGAGAACUCGGGUGAAGGAACUAGGCAAAAUGGUGCCGUAACUUCGGGAGAAGGCACGCUGACACGUAGGUGAAGUGAUUUACUCAUGGAGCUGAAGUCAGUCGAAGAUACCAGCUGGCUGCAACUGUUUAUUAAAAACACAGCACUGUGCAAACACGAAAGUGGACGUAUACGGUGUGACGCCUGCCCGGUGCCGGAA